UACGACCAUAUCACGUUAAAACACCGUUUCCCGUACGAUCCCCGAAGUUAAGCAACGUCGAACCUGGUCAGUACCUAGAUCGGUGACUACUUUGAAAGUCCAGGUGCUGUAAG